GUGAAUCAUCGAAUUUUUGAACGCAAAUUGCGCUUCCUAGCAUCCCGGGGAGUAUGCCUGUUUGAGGGUCAGUAUUAAUAAAAAUCGGUGUGUUGCUUCUUUGUGACGCUCCGGUGUUUGGGUCAUCUUAACAUCCUUUAGGUGUUAAGAGGCUUAAAAUUGACUUUUUUUGCGCAUUUUAGAUGUACAUAAAGUCUUUUUUUUAUUCGUCUGUAUUAAUGAUCAAAAUCCUAUUAGAUGCGACCAUAUCGUGUGGUUUCGCGUCUAU
rnacentral:misc_RNA from 1 species